GGGGAUUUAGCUCAGCGGUAGAGCGCUUGCCUAGCAAGCACAAGGCCCUGGGUUCGGUCCCCAGCUCUG
rfam:Rattus norvegicus chromosome 17, whole genome shotgun sequence.